CAUGUUACAGUCACCUAUUCGAUGUGCCGGUAAACCACACACGCUCCACCGAACUAUGACAAACAUUGAGUCACCCUUUGCUACCUUUGCUUAGAACCAUUUAGUGUGCCGGUUAACCACACACGCUCCACUAACGUCUUCGCAAGGGCACAAAGUGUAAUUUCAUGGAAUUGCAUCAAUUCACUUUUGCCUAAGUAACUAAGAUUGNACCGAACUAUGACAAACAUUGAGUCACCCUUGGCUACCUUUGCUUAGAACCAUUUAGUGUGCCGGUUAACCACACGCGCUCCACUAACGUCUUCACAAGGGCACAAAGUGUAAUUUCAUGGAAUUGCAUCAACUCAUUUUUGCCUAAUUUAACUAAGAUUGGGAAUUUGUAAAACAUUUAGUUACUUUUGUAUUUCAUUAUAUUUAUAAUGGAAAGUUAUGUCCUAUCCUACCGGUUCGGCUAAUGACCCUCCACUUGUCAAGAGUGCGGUGGGUAAGAGUGGAUACCCAUUCAAUCGCCAUUUUAUAGGCAAUUUCCUUAAACACCCCUUAUAGACUAGCUUCGUGAAUGAGGCCUACUA
rnacentral:lncRNA from 1 species